rnacentral:rRNA from 1 species
GGGGACGUCUAAUGAAACUAGCCUACGCAAGUAGUGAGGAAGGUAGGGGAGUGACGUCAAAUACAGCACGGCCUUACGUCCAGGGCUACACACGUGCUACAAUGGCCGAUACAGAGGGCAGCUACCUGGUGACAGGAUGCAAAUCUCCAAAGUCGGUCUCAGUUCGGAUCGGAGUCUGCAACCCGACUCCGUGAAGUUGGAUUCGCUAGUAAUCGCGCAUCAGCCAUGGCGCGGUGAAUACGUUCCCGGGCCUU